rnacentral:lncRNA from 1 species
UUGGAAAAAGAGUUCCGUUUCAUGAGUUGGUGUGCCUCUCCAUGUUUAAUUUGUAUGAUACACUCUUGGGUGGAGAGAGGCUGAGCCUAAACUCUCUGGCUCUCCUGCUGACCUGAGGCUGUGAUAACGUGUGUUUGUAAAAUUCCAAACGCCACUCUCCCUAUGGCCUUGCACGUGCUCUCCCUGUGCAAGGUGGAGGCUCGAACUCGGAAAGGACUCUACUAGCGAGAGAGCAAGAGAUCCUUCUGUGCUCUCUUAGCAGGCUGGCUCCCGAGAGCACUGGUUGUUAAGAGUCUGCAAGUGUGUAGAACUUCCCUGUUGAAGGCAAAAUGUUCAUUAGAGUUUUUCUUCCAGACAUGGGUAGGAAGCUGAUAGUUUUAUUUUCUUGCCUGGAUUACCAAAGCGAGAUAUUUGAGUUUUGACUUCACAAGCUAAGACAUCACAGUGGGUUCUCUUUAUGAAUGUGAAAAAAAAAACUUAUUUUGUACAGACAGCUUUCCUUUUUGUAACUAAUCCUUUUUACUGGUAAAUAUUGUAAAUUAAAAUGUGCAACUUGAAGGCUGUCUAUGUUAUGUUUCCGUACCUCUGCUGUGCUGUGUUAUAUGAUGUAAUUUAUGUGACUGUCUUCACUGGAUCAGUUUUAUGUGAUCUCCAGUAGUUUUUGAUUAGCAGGACACAGCAAGCCUUUUUGUAUAUGAUUGUUGUUCAUAUAUUAGAAAAUGUCAGAAUUCCUGGAAGAAUUAGUACUGAGUUUUCCUUUGUGUGUGUGUGUGUGUGUGUGUGUGUGUGUGUGAGAGAGAGAGAGAGAGAGAGAGAGAGAGAGAGAGAGAGAGAGAGAGAGAGAGAGAAGAGAGAGAGACAGAAGAGAGAGAGAAUAUGAGAGUGUGUAUGUGUGUGUGUAAGAGAAAGUAUGUCUGUGUGUGAGAGAGUGUGAGUGUGUUUAAGAAAGGGUGCCUGAGUGAACUUGUAAGAAAGAGUGUGUGAGUCAGCCGGACAUUGGUGGCACACGCCUUUAGUCCCAGCACUCGGGAGGCAGAGGCAGGCGGAUCUCUGUGAGUUCGAAGCCAGCCUGGUCUCCAGAGUGAGUGCCAGGAAAGGCUCCAAAGCUACACAGAGAAACCCUGUCUCGAAAAACCAAAAAAAAAGAAAAAAGAAAAAAGAGUGUGAGACUCCAAGGAAAGAAAAGGGUUCACGAGAAGAGAAACAGAAGCAGCCCCAGGCUGAAGAAAAAAGAAAGAAGAAAACAGAAAGAAGAAAAAAGGCAGCUGCCCCUGCUCCUGAGGAGGAGAUGGAAGAGUGUGAGCAGGCACUCCCUUGCUGAGCCCAAGGCCAAGGACCGCUUUGCUCACCUGCCCAAGAGUACCUUCGCAUUGGAUGAAUUUAAGCGGAAGUACUCCAAUGAGGACACGCUGUCUGUGGCACUGCCAUGUUUUGGG